rnacentral:rRNA from 1 species
CCCUUAGAUGUUCUGGGCCGCACGCGCGCUACACUGACGGAUUCAACGAGCUUACAACCUUGGCCGAAAGGUCUGGGUAAUCGCCAAAAUCCGUCGUGAUGGGGAUAGAUUAUUGCAAUUAUUAAUCUUCAACGAGGAAUGCCUAGUAAGCGCAAGUCAUCAGCUUGCGUUGAUUACGUCCCUGCCCUUUGUACACACCGCCCGUCGCUCCUACCGAUUGAAUGGUCCGGUGAAGCGUUUGGACUAUGGUUUUCUGAUGGUCCGCCGUUGGAUUACCGUGGGAAGUUCGUUAAACCUUAUCAUUUAGAGGAAGGAGAAGUCGUAACA